UACGUAGGGGGCAAGCGUUGUCCGGAUUUAUUGGGCGUAAAGAGCGUGUAGGCGGUUUGGUAGGUCCGCUGUGAAAACUCGAGGCUCAACCUCGAGACGCCGGUGGAAACCAUCAGACUAGAGUCCGGAAGAGGAGAGUGGAAUUCCUGGUGUAGCGGUGAAAUGCAUAGAUAUGACAUAGAACACCAAUUGCGAAGGCAGCUCACAAAGCAAGUAUUGACGCUGAGGCACGAAAGCGUGGGGAUCAAACAGG
rnacentral:rRNA from 1 species